UGCCACUACGUUGUAAGAGCUUCCACCUCCAGGAAACCUAUGCCCCCCUGCUGUUACAUGUACCUUUCCUGGUGUCUUCUGAGUAUAUCAUGACUUCCACCUGUGCACAUCCUACCUAGGCCCACUGUUACAUGUACCUUACCUGGUGUCUUCUGAGUACAAACUUGAAUGUACACUGUAUGCAUGCAGUGACCAAGCUGCCUACUAGUCUAUAGGUUUCAUGAAAUCAAUAUGUCAGAUUCAAGUUCGGAGUCAGACAGCAUCAUAAUGCCUAGGAAGUCGAGAGCCAAAAGGAGGAGGUCACCAGAACAGGAAGAAGAGG